UACGGAGGGGGCUAGCGUUGUUCGGAAUUACUGGGCGUAAAGCGUGCGCAGGCGGUUCGUUAAGUCAGCUGUGAAAGCCCCGGGCUCAACCUGGGAAUUGCGGUUGAAACUGGCGAACUAGAAUCUGGCAGAGGGGGGUGGAAUUCCACGUGUAGCAGUGAAAUGCGUAGAGAUGUGGAGGAACACCGAUGGCGAAGGCAGCCCCCUGGGCUGAGAUUGACGCUCAGGCACGAAAGCGUGGGGAGCAAACAGG
rnacentral:rRNA from 1 species